rnacentral:rRNA from 1 species
CCCUUAGAUGCUCUGGGCCGCACGCGCGCUACACUGGUCGAUGCAACGAGUUCCUUUCCUUGGCCGACAGGCCUGGGCAAUCUUUGAACAUCGAUCGUGAUCGGGAUAGAUUCUUGUAAUUUUUGAUCUUAAACGAGGAAUUCCUAGUAAACGCAAGUCAUCAGCUUGCAUUGAUUACGUCCCUGCCCUUUGUACACACCGCCCGUCGCACCUACCGAUUGAAUGGUCCGGUGAAAUCUCCGGACUGGCGUGAGUCGGAGCAAUCUGACAAACGCCGGAAAGUUGAUUAAACCUUACCAUUUAGAGGAAGGUGAAGUCGUAACA